rfam:Triticum urartu cultivar G1812 contig764761, whole genome shotgun sequence.
UAUCUACUCCCUCCGUUCCAAAUUACUUGUCGCAUAAAUGGAUGUAUCUAGAACAAAAAUACAUCUAGAUACAUCCAUACCCAUGACAAGUAAUUUGGAACGGAGGGAGUAUAAU